UACGUAGGGUGCAAGCGUUGUCCGGAAUUAUUGGGCGUAAAGAGCUCGUAGGCGGUCUGUCGCGUCUGCUGUGAAAACUCAGGGCUUAACCCUGAGCUUGCAGUGGGUACGGGCAGACUAGAGUGUGGUAGGGGAGACUGGAAUUCCUGGUGUAGCGGUGAAAUGCGCAGAUAUCAGGAGGAACACCGGUGGCGAAGGCGGGUCUCUGGGCCGUAACUGACGCUGAGGAGCGAAAGCAUGGGGAGCGAACAGG
rnacentral:rRNA from 1 species